GAUGAACGCUGGCGGCGUGCCUAAUACAUGCAAGUCGAGCGAACAGACGAGGAGCUUGCUCCUCUGACGUUAGCGGCGGACGGGGGAGUAACACGUGGAUAACCUACCUAUAAGACUGGGAUAACUUCGGGAAACCGGAGCUAAUACCGGAUAAUAUAUUGAACCGCAUGGUUCAAUAGUGAAAGACGGUUUUGCUGUCACUUAUAGAUGGAUCCGCGCCGCAUUAGCUAGUUGGUAAGGUAACGGCUUACCAAGGCGACGAUGCGUAGCCGACCUGAGAGGGUGAUCGGCCACACUGGAACUGAGACACGGUCCAGACUCCUACGGGAGGCAGCAGUAGGGAAUCUUCCGCAAUGGGCGAAAGCCUGACGGAGCAACGCCGCGUGAGUGAUGAAGGUCUUCGGAUCGUAGAACUCUGUUAUUAGGGAAGAACAAAUGUGUAAGUAACUAUGCACGUCUUGACGGUACCUAAUCAGAAAGCCACGGCUAACUACGUG
rnacentral:rRNA from 1 species